UACGGGGGGUGCAAGCGUUGUUCGGAAUUACUGGGCGUAAAGGGCUCGUAGGCGGCCAACUAAGUCGGAUGUGAAAUCCCCAGGCUCAACCUGGGAACUGCAUCCGAUACUGGAUGGCUUGAAUUCGGGAGAGGGAUGCAGAAUUCCAGGUGUAGCGGUGAAAUGCGUAGAUAUCUGGAGGAAUACCGGUGGCGAAGGCGGCAUCCUGGACCGACAUUGACGCUGAGGAGCGAAAGCCAGGGGAGCAAACAGG
rnacentral:rRNA from 1 species